AACGCACAUUGCGCCCCCUAGCAUUCUGGGGGGCAUGCCUGUUCGAGCGUCAUUUCAACCCUCAAGCAACUGCUUGGUGUUGGGGCGCUGCCGAUCCCCCCAGCGGGGCGGCAGGCCCUCAAAUCCAGCGGCGAGCCCGCCAGGACCCCGAGCGCAGUAGUUUCUACCACCUCGCUCCGGGCGGACUGGCGGUGCCUAGCCGUGAAACCCCCCACUGUUUUUACAAGACGUUGACCUCGGAUCAGGUAGGAAUACCCGCUGAACUUAA
rnacentral:misc_RNA from 1 species